rnacentral:rRNA from 1 species
AGUGAACGCUGGCGGUAGGCCUAACACAUGCAAGUCGAACGGCAGCACAGUAAGAGCUUGCUCUUACGGGUGGCGAGUGGCGGACGGGUGAGGAAUACAUCGGAAUCUACUUUUUCGUGGGGGAUAACGUAGGGAAACUUACGCUAAUACCGCAUACGACCUACGGGUGAAAGCAGGGGAUCUUCGGACCUUGCGCGAUUGAAUGAGCCGAUGUCGGAUUAGCUAGUUGGCGGGGUAAAGGCCCACCAAGGCGACGAUCCGUAGCUGGUCUGAGAGGAUGAUCAGCCACACUGGAACUAGGACACGGUCCAGACUCCUAGGGGAGGCAGCAGUGGGGAAUAUUGGACAAGGGGCGCAAGCCUGAUCCAGCCAUACCGCGUGGGUGAAGAAGGCCUUCGGGUGGUAAAGCCCUUUUGUUGGGAAAGAAAAGCAGCAGGUUAAUACCCCGCUGUUCUGACGGUACCCAAAGAAUAAGCACCGGCUAACUUCGU